GAUGAACGCUGGCGGUCUGCUUAACACAUGCAAGUCGAACGGAAGUAGCAAUACUUUAGUGGCGGACGGGUGGGUAACACGUAAGAAUCUGCCUCCAGGACGGGAAAAACAGUUGGAGACGACUGCUAAUUCCGGAUGAGCCGAAAGGUAAAAAGAAAUUCGCCUGGAGAUGAGCUUGCGGCUGAUUAGCUAGUUAGUAGGGUAAGAGCCUACCAAGGCGACGAUCAGUAGCUGGUCUGAGAGGAUGAGCAGCCACACUGGGACUGAGACACGGCCCAGACUCCUACGGGAGGCAGCAGUGGGGAAUUUUCCGCAAUGGGCGAAAGCCUGACGGAGCAAGACCGCGUGGGGGAGGAAGGUUCUUGGAUUGUCAACCCCUUUUCUCAGGGAAGAAGAUCUGACGGUACCUGAGGAAUCAGCAUCGGCUAACUCCGUGCCAGCCGCCGCGGUAACAC
rnacentral:rRNA from 1 species